CCGAGUUAGCAAACUCCCAGACCCAUGUGAACAGUACCUGAACUGUUGCUUCGAGCGGGAGUGCUCCUCAGGAGCGGCCUCGUGCCCGGAGGCAUCCCCUAGGAACUACUCUUGUUUUAUUUUGGAAUCUUCUGAGUAGCUUUUACUAAAUAAGUA
rnacentral:misc_RNA from 1 species